rnacentral:misc_RNA from 1 species
AAGUCGUAACAAGGUUUCCGUAGGUGAACCUGCGGAAGGAUCAUUAACACUUAAAAUAAAAACAAUUUCCCUUUUGAAUCCCUCUCUUUUCUUUUUUCUCUCCUUUUUGGAGGGAGAGAGUCAAGAGAUUUUCAAAUUUAAUUUGAACAAAAAUGUGUAACCUUACUUUUUUACUUAUGGAUUUGAGGACAGAGGACGAGGGGGUUUUCAACUCUCUCUCUUCGUGGUUCUCAGAUUUUCUCAUAAACCAGUUAAACCCACAAACAAAAUAUGGCGUAUCUCAAAGGGACUUUUUGUCUCUCUGACGAUCCCCCAUAGUUAAACCAAAAACAAAAAAACAAAAAACAAAAAAAAACAAAAUAAAACACAACUCUUAACAAUGGAUAUCUUGGUUCUCGC